UUAUCUCUCUUCAUUCCUUUCUUCACCACCGAAAUCAAAAUCCAUGUUCAUCAUCAUCAAUUUUCCCAAUUUCCAUACCUUAAACUUCGAAUAAUCUGUACUUAAUUUCGAAUUUAGGUUUCAGAGUUUUGAUUUGAUUAAACCACUUCAGAAACUAUAACCCUAAAUUGGAAUUGGGUGAAUAUCACUUCAUUAGUAUCUCCACAAAUACUUCCAGAUUGGUUUGGUUAUUAAACUCAUCUUCUUCACUUCAGGUGAUCCAUUUUCCAGGAAGAAAAAGUUGUUGGCAUGAGUAUGAACACGAAAAGAGCUGAAAAGAAAUCCACUAAGAACAUGAAGAAGAGCUUAAAGUAACCUCGUUUAAUUGGGAGGCUCUAAAAAUAAUUAGGGGCCCUGCAUUACAGGACAAAAAGGUCAUGAAAUAGCAAAUAUGGGUUAUCCCUUAUCUUUUUUUUUGAAAUGGCUAAACUAUCUCUAAAUGAUUAGUUAAGUUAAUUAGUUUGUUUAA